CGUAGAUCACACUCCCAAAGGGAAAGUAAACUUCUUACAACAGUUUUAACUUCCUUGAUUUCCCAGAGUAUUAAGUUAAUUGCAGUUUUGGUUGGAAAAUUUCCACAAUGCUUGAAUGAUCACAAAAUGAGCAAUUACACGUAAGAGUUUUAUGGGGUGCCUCUUCUAGAAUUGUAUCUUGAUCUCAGGGCUGGGUCAGGGACUCUGGUGUUGGGGCGGGUUCGACACACACUUCUAUUAAUUUUGAUACAGACGGAUCUAAGACACAGUGAUAUGGAUUCGGAGAUCCGUUUAUCGUUGUCAUGGAACAUAA